rnacentral:rRNA from 1 species
UUUUAACGGCCGCGGUACUUUGACCGUGCGAAGGUAGCGUAAUCAUUUGCCCUAUAAUUGAGGGCUUGUAUGAAUGGUUUGACGAGAGUUAGGCUGUCUCAAUUUAAUUUUUUAGAAUUUAACUUUUAGGUGAAAAGGCCUAAAUAAAAUUAAAAGACGAGAAGACCCUAUCGAGCUUAUAAUGAUUUCAGUGAAUUUGCUGAUGAGUUUUUAGUUGGGGCAACUAGGGAACAAAAAGAGCUUCCCUUAAUAAGUUUAUUAGCUAAUAUUGAUCCACUAGUAGUGAUUAAGGUUAAGUUACCGUAGGGAUAACAGCGUAAUUUUUCUUGAGAGUUCUUAUUGAAAGAAAAGUUUGCGACCUCG